rnacentral:rRNA from 1 species
CCCUUAGAUGUCCUGGGCCGCACGCGCGCUACACUGACAUGUUCAACAAGUUUCUCCUAGUUCGACAGGACUGGGAAAUCUUUGAACGCAUGUCGUGAUAGGGAUAGAUCAUUGCAAUUAUUGAUCUUGAACGAGGAAUUCCUAGUAAACGCGAGUCAUCAGCUCGCAUUGAUUACGUCCCUGCCCUUUGUACACACCGCCCGUCGCACCUACCGAUUGAAUGUUUCGGUGAAGAUUCCGGAUAGGACUGAUUUGAUUUAUUUCAUUUCUGACCUAAAAGCUAUCUAAACCUCCACAUUUAGAGGAAGGUGAAGUCGUAACA